rnacentral:miRNA from 1 species
AAAUGCCUCCAUGAGACCCAGCUGUAAGGCAUUUUCUCAUUUAGUGAUCAAUGGGGGAGGGCUCAGCUUACUGUGAGUGGGGCCUUCCCUGGGCUGGUGGUCCUG